rnacentral:sRNA from 1 species
UUACAGCUGUGAAUGGAUACACUUUUGGAAGUCUCCCAGGACUCUCCAUGUGUGCUGAAGACAGAGUAAAAUGGUACCUUUUUGGUAUGGGUAAUGAAGUUGAUGUGCACGCAGCUUUCUUUCACGGGCAAGCAUUGACUAACAAGAACUACCGUAUUGAUACAAUCAACCUCUUUCCUGCUACCCUGUUUGAUGCUUAUAUGGUGGCCCAGAACCCUGGAGAAUGGAUGCUCAGCUGUCAGAAUCUAAACCAUCUGAAAGCCGGUUUGCAAGCCUUUUUCCAGGUCCAGGAGUGUAACAAGUCUUCAUCAAAGGAUAAUAUCCGUGGGAAGCAUGUUAGACACUACUACAUUGCCGCUGAGGAAAUCAUCUGGAACUAUGCUCCCUCUGGUAUAGACAUCUUCACUAAAGAAAACUUAACAGCACCUGGAAGUGACUCAGCGGUGUUUUUUGAACAAGGUACCACAAGAAUUGGAGGCUCUUAUAAAAAGCUGGUUUAUCGUGAGUACACAGAUGCCUCCUUCACAAAUCGAAAGGAGAGAGGCCCUGAAGAAGAGCAUCUUGGCAUCCUGGGUCCUGUCAUUUGGGCAGAGGUGGGAGACACCAUCAGAGUAACCUUCCAUAACAAAGGAGCAUAUCCCCUCAGUAUUGAGCCGAUUGGGGUGAGAUUCAAUAAGAACAACGAGGGCACAUACUAUUCCCCAAAUUACAACCCCCAGAGCAGAAGUGUGCCUCCUUCAGCCUCCCAUGUGGCACCCACAGAAACAUUCACCUAUGAAUGGACUGUCCCCAAAGAAGUAGGACCCACUAAUGCAGAUCCUGUGUGUCUAGCUAAGAUGUAUUAUUCUGCUGUGGAUCCCACUAAAGAUAUAUUCACUGGGCUUAUUGGGCCAAUGAAAAUAUGCAAGAAAGGAAGUUUACAUGCAAAUGGGAGACAGAAAGAUGUAGACAAGGAAUUCUAUUUGUUUCCUACAGUAUUUGAUGAGAAUGAGAGUUUACUCCUGGAAGAUAAUAUUAGAAUGUUUACAACUGCACCUGAUCAGGUGGAUAAGGAAGAUGAAGACUUCCAGGAAUCUAAUAAAAUGCACUCCAUGAAUGGAUUCAUGUAUGGGAAUCAGCCGGGUCUCACUAUGUGCAAAGGAGAUUCGGUCGUGUGGUACUUAUUCAGCGCCGGAAAUGAGGCCGAUGUACAUGGAAUAUACUUUUCAGGAAACACAUAUCUGUGGAGAGGAGAACGGAGAGACACAGCAAACCUCUUCCCUCAAACAAGUCUUACGCUCCACAUGUGGCCUGACACAGAGGGUAUAUUUACUUAAAGCCAAGUCUCUAUUGGAUGGAUUUGUGUAGUUUUGGUUUAAAAUCCUGUAGCAGAAUGUGUUGGGUGAUAAACUUAUCCCUUCCCCAAGCCUCCGAAGUGCCCUUCCUACCUUUGAAAGAGCAAGUCUAGGCCACUAUCAGCUGAAGUAUGUACCAGAUAGGUCUGUUUCCUAGUUACUGAGGACAAUGUGGAGUAAAAGAACAUGGUGUGGUUUUCUCCAUUUCCAUAGGCUCCUCAAGAUGAUCCCUUUUUAGAUUAUGGUCCUUUUAAAGAUAGCUGGAAAAUCAGACUAGAAGGGGAAUGACUCCCAUAAAUAUUCUGCACCUAAACUUUUCAUCAUGUCUCUGUAGCCUAGAUGUAGUGUUGGCUUGUUGGUUGCAAGUGAAUAUUCUAUAUGCUAGCAUUGUAGCCAUGCAAAUUCAGAGACAUCUACAGACCUG